GUUUGUUUCAUGCAAUGCCUCUGUUCUUUCUGCUCGUUCCAUGCCUUGACAAUCCGUCUGCAUUUCUGGGAGAACGACCCCGCAGCAAGCUGCGACCCCCCCAACCUGACAGAUGUUAGUUUAAGGAUCCUCCGCAGCGAGGUUGUCACACCAAUCUCUGAUAUGGACCCCUUAAUGACCUCAUACUACAAGUGACGGAGAUCACACGGCGCCAGGUCGGGAGUAGGGAGGUUGAUCCAGCACGGCGAUGUUCUUUCCCACCAGAAACUGUCGGAUGCUCAGGUCAUUGUGAACAGGCAUUAGCUGUCCAGCCAGAACUCUCACUCGCACUGAACGAAGCAAAUGCUGCAGGAUCUCUUUGAUGUGCUGGUUGAUCAUCUGACCCAGUGGCAAGAACUCA